CACUCAGAUCACGCUGGAAGCACCGGUUUUCGUUUGAUCACAGAAGUUAAGCAGUAUCGAGCUCAAUCAGUAUUUAGAUGAGAGACCACAUAGAAA